rnacentral:rRNA from 1 species
AGAGUUUCAUCAUGGCUCAGGACGAACGCUGGCGGCGCGCUUAACACAUGCAAGUCGAGCGAGAACCAUUCCUUCGGGAAUGGGGACAGCGGCGAACGGGUGAGUAACACGUGGGUAAUCUGCCCUCGAUUCUGGGAUAGCCCGGGGAAACCCGGAUUAAUACCGGAUAGCCUCGCGAGCUUUCGAGCUCGUGAGAAAAGGUAGCUUCGGCCUCCGAUCGAGGAUGAGCCCGCGGCGGAUUAGCUUGUUGGUGGGGUAAUGGCCUACCAAGGCGACGAUCCGUAGCUGGUCUGAGAGGACGAUCAGCCACACUGGGACUGAGACACGGCCCAGACUCCUACGGGAGGCAGCAGUGGGGAAUCUUGCGCAAUGGGCGAAAGCCUGACGCAGCGACGCCGCGUGGGGGAAGAAGGCCUUCGGGUUGUAAACCUCUUUCAGCAGGGACGAAGCCACUCGGGUUAAUAGCCCAGAGGGUGACGGUACCUGCAGAAGAAGCCCCGGCUAACUACGUGCCAGCAGCCGCGGUA